UUGAGCUUGCAGAGUGGACACCAUGAGCAAAGCUCACCCACUCCCAAGUUGAAACAAUUUAUGGACCAGAAAUUAUCACUGAAAUUAAAUGGUGGCGGACACAUCCAAGGAAUAUUGCAGGGGUUCAAUCCCUUUGUCAGUCUUGUGAUACACGAUGAAUGUGUGGAAAUGGCAACUAGUGGGCCACAGAACAAGAUUGGAAUGGUUGUAAUAUGAGGAAAUGGUAUCAUGUUAGAAGUCUUGGAACAAGUAUAAACAAUGGGUGUGUACUCUGGAAGAAAUCAACUGCUUCCACAUGUCCUCUCUCCAAAGCACCUGUUUUACUACAAUAUAAAAAUCAGGUCAUGUGCAUUUUCAUAUUGAACUUUUUUGUUAAGUAAACUUUUGCAAUAAUCAGAAUGCUUUCUCAGGCAUUGUGAAUGUAGAAAAUUGAAUAUUAGCUCAUAUUCUAAUUUUUUCUGACGUGAACUGCCCCUGUUUGAGACCAAUUUGUUCCAAAGCUUUUAUGCAUUAAUAUAGAAGCAACUAAUCAAAUGUGAAGCAUGGCAAGGAUGCCUUUUUUCCAUCUUUUAAUGGAAAGAUAAAGAACCUGCAAACCUGCAAACAAGUUUCUUCUGAAACAUUAAAUGUAAUUUUCAAAACUCUUGUAAUAGCUUUUGAACAUAAAUGGGGGAAAAUAUUUGAAUACAGGAAUAGAAAUAGAACUCGGGAGAAAAAGAAAAGGCAGACAAGGGGAAAAUAUUUGCAGCACAUAUAAACAGGCAGAGACUUACUAUCCAAAAUAAUUUUUUUAAAUUAAGAAAAAGAGUCUUGGGGCACCUGGGUGGCUCAGUCGUUAAGCAUAUGCCUUCGGCUCAGGUCA